CAUUAUAUGACUUAAGUAGCAAAAUCCAUCAACAAUCAAGAAUUAUCAAACACAAUAAGCAGUUCAAACCUACUAACCUAAAUCGAAACUAUCUUAACAACCUAAAUCCACUAAAACUAGAAAAUUGAGUGUAACUAAAUUAAACAAACUAACUAAAAUGAUUUGCAUAUAAAAGACUUAAAAUAGUGCUCACGUUGAAGUCCUAUCAGGCCAAAUCGUCAUCUGUAUGAUGGGAGAUGGUGGAGGGGCAUCUGGCUAGGAUCCGUGAGAUACUUUUUACACUGCGAUGUCUGGCGCUAGAGGCGGCGUUGUGCUGAGUGGAUGGAGGUGGUAGAGAGUCCACUCUGAUGAAGUAGACGGACGACUUCCUGGUUACGGGUGUAGAGUAGUAGUAGGAGCCACGUAAAUAGGAUUAGGGACCAUGAUGAAUGACUGGUCCUAUAUACUCAUUCCAUGUGAUGUCAUAAGAGUAGUUGGAGUAGAGGGCGAGGAGUGAGAAGUCUCAGGGGUACCAAUAAAACCCCUCCUUCUACCACGAUCACAAGGUCAAUCCGUGACAUCUCUACCUCUUGUCAUAUCUGCAAAGAGCAUAUCAAUUAACACUAGUCACAAAAAUAAUGUAAUGGUGAAGAUAAAAUUCAUAGAUACUUUAAAUUACAUAAAUCAGCAAAUACAACAAAAAUUCUGUGUACGUUUAUAUUAUUUGGAAAAAAUUUUGGCAUAACCCCCCUAAAGUUGGACAUAUAUCCACCUUUUCGGUUUUCACAAAUCCAACCAAACUCAAUAAAAAAUUAAAACCUAAAAACAACCACAAUAUAUCCAAAAUAACUUAAUCAGUUAACUAAUUAGUUGAGUUUCUAACUACUUAGGUGUUUUAAUUUGUUCAUCAUCAAACCAAUAACUUAAUCAACAACACCUCAAAAUAUGUUUUGGUUAGAAUCAGAACCAAAAUAACAAACACAAAAUUAUAAUAACAAAUCAGAACUAAAAUUAUAAUAAGAAAUCAUACCUUAUUCCUAUUUUCGAAAAAGGUAAGUUCAAAAGCAUUACCUGAAGAAGAGCACUAGCAUCGAGAAGAAGAUGGAGGCAGAAGUGGCGGCAGUAGCAGUGACAGAAUCCGACAGCAGCAACGGUGACAACAAAAAAUGACGAAUAGCACCGAAGAAAGAGGGGGGCUGCCAAUGUCAAAGGUGGCUUCCAGAGAGGUAGGGCUGUCGGAGAGAUGAGAGGGGUUGAGAGAGAGUGGGAGGCAAGAGGGUUAGAGAGAGAGAGAGAAACUCAAAUGAGGAAGAAGAGGGUUCGCAGUUCGAAUUUAGGGUACAAUUACCGUUGGAUUUACUGGUGGAUAAAUUCGACAGUAAUAUGUUGCGAGUUACCAAAACACAGCGUCUCACUAAGUGGGUUUACCAUCGGAUUUUUCCGCCGGUAAACCCAACCCUAUAUGUCGUGCCCAUUUUCCUCGUUUUUUCUUCAAUUAUUACCGGCAGAUUUACCGUCGGAAAUGAGAAUCCGCCGGUAAUAUUUUAACAUGAUGAAUUUCACGCCUAAAUCGCCAGUAAAAACUCUGUUACUCUAUGAUGCUAAAUCUGAAGAUAUUCAGCGUUUUUCUUGUAGUGGUGACUACCUCAAUUGAACCUACCUCAGUUGUCCAAUGGUUGGACAUUUCUCAUACACUCAAUUUACACAGCAACACCUUAACACACAAUUGCAUUCUCAGCAGGACAUGCAUUUACAAAUCACUCACUCUCGUCAUACAUCACAUUCUACAAUUUUACAUGAAUUGCAUCAUGAAUGUUUAGCACGAUUACAAACUAUUACACCUUCACAACACAUCGAACAUACAAAUUCAAAACAUAUUAAUCCACCAGCACCACUUAGAAGAUCAAAUAGAAUAAAAGAGUUCCCAAUGUAUCUUCAAAAUUUUUAAUGCGCAAAUAAUAUCUCUACUCAUUAACUGAUGCAUUCAUCCAACUACAAAUAUUCCAUAUCUAAUUCUGUCUCUUAUUCUACACUAUCCACUAAUAAAUUGUCUUUUUCUCUCGGUGUUUCCACAAUUGAUGAGCCCAAAACCCACAAAGAUGCUAUCACUCAAGAAUGCUAGAGAAAGGCCAUUAGUGUGGAGCUUUUGGCCUUGAGCAAACUAAAACCUAGAAUCUUACACUUUUACCACUAUGCAAGAAAGCAAUUGGUUGUUGCUAGGUAUUCAAAGUCAAGUUCAACCUUGAUGGUUCGAUAGAGAGGCACAAAGUACGAUUAGUUGCGAAAGGCUACAUAUAAUGGUAUGGUUUGGGCUAUUUGGAUACUUUUAGUCCAGUAGUCAAGAUUACUACUGUGAGACCAAUACUGGCCCUCACUACAACUAAAGGUUGGUAUUAUCAUCAACUUGAUGUUAGUACGACCUUCUUACAUGGAGAAUUGAAGAAAAUCAUGUACAUGAAGCCUCCACCACGGUUACCUAUCUCUUCAGCUAACUUGGUUUGCAAGCUUGAUAGGUCCUUAUAUGGCCUCAAACAAGUUAGCAAAUAAUAGAAUCUCAAAUUAUGCUUAAUCUUCACUGCUAAUGGUUAUAAAUAGUCAAAGAAUGACUAUUCCUUAUUUAUCAAAGCUAUCUCAUUUUCUUCUUUCACUAUUAUAUUAGCUUAUGUUGAUGUCUUGGUCUUUGCAGAAAAUGACCUUGCAGAAAUUUAGUCAAUAAAGUCCAUUCUUGAUAAAUAAUUCAAGACUAUGGACUUCGACAAUUUGAAAUAUUUUCUUGGCUUUGAAGUUGCAAGAACAAGUGUAGGGAUCAACCUUUAUCAGAGAUAUACAUUAGAUUUAUUAGAGGAAUGUGGACUGUCAAGUUGUAAACCAACCUCCACUCCCAUGGCCUACACUCUUAAAUUGUCAAAGGAAUCAAGUUCACCAUUAAUUGAUGUAUAGCAGUAUUGUAGAUAUUUGAUAGGUUAGUUUACUUCACAAAUACACUAUUAGACACUUGUUUUGCAGUGGGAAAGCUUAGUGAGUUCUUAAGCAAGCCCUCCAUUAUCCAUCUUCAAGCUGUCUAUCAUGUGUUAAAGUAUAUCAAGUCUACAUUAGCCUUUGGACUAUUUUUUGCAGCUAACUCUAAGCUCAAAAUCUCAAAAUUUGUUUAUUCAAAUUGGGCAUAAUCCUAACAUGUGUUGCUCUAUCAUUGGGUUCUGCUUCUUCUUAGGUUCAUCCCUCAUCUCCUAGAAGAACAAGAAGCAACCCCACCAUAUCCCGAUUAUUCUCUGAGGCAGAAUACAGGUCAUUAGUUGUAGCAACCUAUGAAGUUCGCUGCUGUUCUUAUCUACUCAAAAAAGUUCACAUUGAUCACCCUCAACCAAUUUUUCUCUACUGCAAUAGCCAAUCAUCAAAAUACAUUGCACCCAAUCCUGUUUUAACUUUGAUGAGUUUGGAAAACUCUAAUUUAAUUUGAUGAUGAACAAACAUUAUUAAAAUAAUUAAUUACAAAAUUAUUAAUUUGAUUUUAAAUCAUACUUGCUUAAUUAAUAAUUUUAUUGGUGCAGAUUUUGAUUAUGUGCCGAACAGAAAAGAAAAAUUAUUGCAAGCCCAAUGUGUUUGUAAACAUUCAGCUUUGGUUAAAAUAUUUAAGUAACUUGGCUGAAACAAUAUUUUGAUAUGGGCCAGAUUCUCUUUAUUUUAGUAUUAGCCCAACUCAAAUGGUAGUGGAAAACCCACUAAGCUUGAUCCGAAUUCAAGAAAAAAAGGAGAAAGCAAAUGAUGUGCCUUAUGCUUCCAACGGAUCUCAUUCUUUCUAUCAUGUGAUGGAAUUCAAAAUUUUAUUAAGGAGAGUUAAUGCAGACCUUGGAACAAUGAGAGAGAAAUUGUAAUUGAUUUGAUUGAUUGCCUUGAUGAGGCACGCUACCUAAAGCAAAGGGAAGUAAUUAAUUCAUUUUUAAUUCAUCAAAUUCAUUUGAUUGCUUCUCUUUUUUCUUUUACUCUAUCUACUCUCUCAUCUCUCUUCUUCUUCGGUCACCUCACAGAGAAAGAAUGGAAGCUAAGCCUAGCCACUGAAAAGAAGGAGAAGCAAGUUACAAGACCAUUGUAAUGAUGGCAAGAAAAAGAAAACAAAAAGUAUGUUGUGGCUGAGAUUUUCAUCACUUAUGGUAAGAUUUGGUGAAGAGAUCUCAGCUUCUCCAUACCAAAAAUGAAAGAAGAAGAUUUCGGUCAGAAGAGGAAGAUCCUUAGAGGGAUGGCUUGUCUCUGAUUUUGCUCAACCACCACAGGAGGUAGCUACAGUGGCUACGUGAUGGAGGAGGCAGAAGUUGGAGUAGAUGAAGCUGUCAUCAUCAUAACUCAUCAAGGGCUAGGAAUCCGUCUUGGAGGGCAAGGCAAGAUGGAGGGCUCGGAUUGAUGAAGAUUGGUGACCAAGGAAGGACUAGAGGUAAUUGCAUGUUGGGUUUUGCAUUUGGUUAUCUCUCCUCUCACUCUGGCCGAACCGGUUUGCAUGAAGAAGAAGAAGUUUAGCUUGGUUUAUUUGGUUUCAACCGUGGAGGCUUCCCCCUAUAUAUAAGGGAGAACAGCUAGGGCUUGAAGGAAGGAGUGAGAGUGCAAGGCACAUGAUUCUCAGAGCUACCUAAGCUAACAGAAUUUCUUCUCCUUCAAUGUUUUCUGUUUUGUAUUUUUCUGUUUAAUUUUGUCUGUCUUGAGUCUCAUGAAAAAAGACAAACAAUGAGGUUUGUAAGAAAAAGCCAUAGAGCGAAAAAAGGCAGAGUGCACAAAAUUAAAAGAAAAAGCCAUAGAUGUCCUUAGAGGUCCUUUGUACAUCUGUGUUGUGUUUCAUGAUUCUGUGGGAAUCCCCUUAUAAGUUGGGUUAGCACUUAGCAGUUGAAAGCUUGGCUGUGACCAAGUCAAGUUCGGGAUUGGGGUUUAGAUUCUGGACUUGUCCCGGAUAGGAAGGGUAGUUCCUAGGGAGAAUUGGUGUUUGUAAUCAAGAACGAUUAUAGUGAAAUUCCAUCAUCAUUGUGGUAGAGACUGGAUUUAGGCUGCGCUGCACUUAGCAGCUGAACCAGGAUAUAUCUGGGUGUAAUGUUCUUCUCUUCUACUCCAUUUCUAUUUAUGCUGCACAGGAGAUAAAACUGAAAAAUAUCUCGUGCCGGGUCACGAGAUAAAAAAAAAAGUCUCGUGACUAGGUACGAGACAAAAAUAAAAAAGUCUCUAGAAAUUGUUUCAAAGACCAAAAAGUAUUAUCAAGUGAAAAAGGGGCCAAGAUUCAACCCUCCUUCUCUUAGCCACUGAAAACCAUCAAACUUCUAACUUGAGGAACAUAUUACCUGAUUGUAUAUCUUAGAAUUUAGCUUAUCUAUAUAGUUAGGAGUUAGUAAAUAUUAUCAUUAGACGACUAGUUAGCUAAGAUAUUUUGUAACCUGCAUUGAUAUAAAUUAAAAGGUAAUUAACCAACAAAAUUAAUUGAGCUUACCAUUAUAAGUAUGAUACUGAGUCCAAAAGCUUCUAGCUAAUAAAAUUUCUUAAUGUAUGUGAUAUCAUUACAUAUUAGAAGUCCACAUCACUUAUGUUACAUUUAAAAUAAUAAUAUUCAAAGACCAUGUGUGUUACAAGAAGAUUGGUGUGUAUGGAAAGUCAAUAAUGAUAAAAACAAUGGUCAAGAUCAGAGUCACCGGUGGAUAGCUACAAAGUCAUUCAACAAAUUUAUUAAAAUCGUAGUGUUUACAUAUGCACUCAUUACUUAAUCCACAUCAUCAGAUGAGUAUGUUUGCUUAAAAACAUAAAUAUAACUAAUAUGAUCUGAAGAGUUGUUAAGUAAUUAAACUUUUUAAUACAAAAAUGGUUGUUGAGAUAAUUAUGUCAGCAAUAUGAUUAUUAAUAAUAUGCAUAUGCUUUCUGAUAAGAACAUGAAAACGACUAUUAAUCAGUUGAUCUUUAUUUUUACACUCACAACCGUUAUUAUUUUAAAACAUUAACAGAAAUUAAUAUACGUGUUUGUCAUUGCUUUUCUUUCCAUUAAUGUGACCCGAAAGACAAAAAACUGUAUAUAUAACAGUUAAAAAGCAAUGGCGCGCUUAGUUGGCAAUAUUUUUUAUAUACAAAAGCUUUUUUGGUAAAUCAUUAAUCAUAUUCUCAAUCGAGUUUGAACUUUUGUCUGUUUUAAACCAAACCAACCAUAAAAGCCACAUGUUUAAUUAAUAAAUAAAAGCAUAUCGAAUUUUACUAACUAAUUAAAAUAAUUUAAAACUUGUUUAACUUAAAUAAAAAUCUUGGAUUAUAUAUAUUGUUAACUACCAAAAACGUCAUCAAAUUAUUCAAACGUCGAUAAAAAUACGCAAAUUUUACUAUCGACAAAAAUGUCUUUAAAUAAUUUAAAAACGCAGUAAAAAUGUUCAACAAUAAAUAUGUAUUUUUAAAAAAUAUUUUAAAUUGAAUUUUAAUAUGAUUUUUUUAUAAAAAUGAGAUAUUAUUAACGUAGUAUUUUUUUGUGGUCAUUCAUAAAUAUUCUAUUUUCACAAUAGCAAAAUUUUAAAUAAAAAAUAAUAAGUGUGAUUGUGUGAAACACUUUCUUGGACCCCAAACCCUUGAACAAAGUAGUUUGGUAAGAACGAAGAAACAGCCAAAUGAAAAAAAGAAACGUCAAAGCCAUCAACAUAUUAUAACAUAAUUUUAUAUAUAACCUCCGAUUAAACCUCCACCACAUUCUUAGUUGCAGUUUCAUCUGUCUAUAUAUUCAUAUAUCUCUUCAAGAAGCUAAAGGGGCAUACCAAAGAGAAGAAAGAAUCUCAUCAACCCAGAAGUGAUUAAGC
rnacentral:lncRNA from 1 species